rnacentral:rRNA from 1 species
UACGUAGGUGGCAAGCGUUGUCCGGAUUUAUUGGGUUUAAAGGGUGCGUAGGCGGUGACCUAAGUCAGUUGUGAAAUACGGCAGCUUAACUGUCGAGGUGCAAUUGAUACUGGGUUACUUGAGUACUGAUGAGGUAUGCGGAAUGGACGGUGUAGCGGUGAAAUGCUUAGAUAUCGUCCAGAACACCGAUAGCGAAGGCAGCAUACUAAGGAGUAACUGACGCUGAGGCACGAAAGUGUGGGGAUCAAACAGG